CUGCGCCGGACGCUGGGCCCGUCUGCGGUGGGCGAGGCGCGAGCGGGAUGAGCCGCGGGGUCCAGGGCACCGGCGGCAGCAGCGCCGUCAGCAAGUGCUCGGCGGCAGCGCGGGGCUACAUCCAGGACCGGUUCCAGCGGCUCCUGGCGGGGCGGCAGCGCCGACGAGCGCCGCUUAUCCACCGGGGUUAUUACAUCCGCGCCCGUGCUGUAGAUCACUGUGUCCGGGACUUCCUACUGAAGACACAAAGCCACCCUAGGACACAGGUCCUGUCUUUAGGUGCUGGCUUUGACUCCUUAUACUUCCGUUUGAAGGACAUGGGUCUUCUGCAUCAUACUGUGGUAUAUGAGGUGGAUUUUCCAAGUGUGGUGUGCCAAAAAGCUACUCUGAUCAAAAGAAUGGAAGAGUUGUCAGCACUGGUGGGAGACACUGCAGGGGAAGGAUUAGGAGCCAUUACCUUUUCUGGAGAGGAUUAUAAACUACUGGGAGUGGAUUUAUCAGAGCUGUCUGAGCUGGGGAGAGCCCUGGAGGAAGCAGGACUGGACAAUGAAAUCCCCACCCUAUUCAUUGCAGAAGUGGUGCUCACCUACAUGGAAAACAGCAGGUCAGAUGCCUUGAUUCAAUGGGCAGCAGAGCGUUUCCCUCGGGCCUGCUUCCUGCUGUAUGAGCAGGUGCACCCAGAGGACCCCUUUGGACGUGUCAUGCAGCAGCAUUUCAGCCAGCUGAACUCUGCACUUCACUCUCUGACACAGUACCCUGACUGUGAGGCACAGCAGAAGCGCUUUUUGGGAAGGGGCUGGACUGAGUGCAGUGUCAUGGAUAUGAAUGAGUUUUUCACCUGUUGUAUUCCAGAAGAUGAACAGCAAAGAGUGCAGGCUCUGGAGCCUUUUGAUGAGUAUGAGGAAUGGCAUCUGAAAUGUUCUCAUUACUUUGUGUUGACUGCGUCAAAGGGGAUGGAUCCUUCCUGGACUCCGUUGUUACCCAGUGUGACAGUUCCUCACCAUGCUGGUCCUGUUGGAAUGGCUGGGAGCAUCCCUGCAGCAGUGUGUGCAAGGCUCUCAGGAAUUCCUGGCCUGAGACGUUACGGUCACUGCUCUGUUCUUAUAAAACCCGACGUGAUUCUCACCACUGGAGGCUUUGGGGAGGAGGAUGGACAACACUGCCGCCUGAGAAAUUUCCAUGUGCUGAGUAAGCAUGCAGGCUACUGGAAAGCUGACUGUGUGACAAAGAAACAUCCUGAUAAAAGAUGGGGUGAGCGGUUGUAUCACACUGUGUCCUGUGUCUCGGACAGUCUGGCCCUGGUGGUAGGAGGACGAAUGUCCCCAUCAAGUGCAGGCUUGGGAAUGUUGUGGCUAAAGUUCCCUGAAAACUAUAAUGCUUCAGAUUCAGAUGACAUUGCAGUGGAGCUUGUAAAUCUGCAGCCUGCUGCUGAACCAGCAACUUUGCGUUGGAGACACAGCACAACUGAAGUGACAUUCAAAGGUGAGCAGUACCUGUUUGUGUAUGGGGGCCGCUCUGCUCUGGAGCCUGUGCUUGGGGAUUGGUAUUUUCUGCACACUCGAGAACUCUCCAGCACUCUGAUUGCUGUUGAGGGUCCAGUCCCAGAAAGCCGCCACUCUCACAGUGCCUGCAGCUGGGAAGGAGGAGUGCUCAUCGCAGGAGGUCUGGGAGCAGCUGAGCAGCCCUUGGGUUCAGUUUUCCUUCUGAGGGAGCUUGAACAUGGCUUUCGGUGGCAGGCAGUAGAGACAUACCCUCCUCUCAUCCCAAGGUAUUCACAUACUGCACAUGUGCAUGAAGGAAAGCUUCUGCUCGUUGGUGGAGUGUGGUUUCAUGCAUCCUCCGUGCCAGGCAUCACUGUCAUUGACCUAAUGACUGGCCUCUGCUUGGACUAUGUGAUUAAUGUGGAGCAUCUGGAGUGGCCAUUAAUGCUACAUAAUCAUAGCAGUGUCUUUCUGCCAGAUGAGAAGGAGUUGUUGGUCAUUGGUGGUGGUGGGAACUGCUUCUCCUUUGGGACACACCUGAACCCAGAGCCUGUCUCACUGAGCCUCAGCAGCAUCGUGACAAGUCACUGAUUGGGACCAAGCAAGGCUGAACUGUGCUGUGGGAAGACAUCUGUUCACUCGGAGGUCCAAGGUUUCCACAAGGGCUUUGUAUCCAGAAUGCAUUUGUGAAGAGGAUCUGGCAGAACUGGAAGCAGCCAAGGGCAGCAAUAACCCAGUCAGAGGAGCAGAGCAGCUUGGACGGGGUGCAGAAGUCAGCAGACAUGUCCACUGGCAGCUCCCACCGAAAUUCCAUGAACUACAGGAAGCAAAGGUUCAUCCAAAGCUCCCAGGACACCCGGGCACUCUUUGAGGAGCAGCAUAGGGAGCUGGAGGCACAGCUGGCCCAGCAGCAAUACAGGGGAGGGGACUGCAGGGUGCUCCAGACCGAGAUGCUGGUGGAGCUGCCGGGACUGCUGGGGGGCAGAGAGUCUCCCCAGUGCCUUGCAGUGGAGCUGCCGAGGCCGGACAUGAACAAGGGGACAGAAGAGGCCAAACAUAAGAACACAGGACAGUGCAGCAGGGACUACACGACACUGCAACGCAGAAGAUCCGUGGUGAUGGCCAGGCUUCUACCUAGACUAGUGGUGAUUGUAAAUCCCGCACUGUUGGAAAGCUGCAGCAGCAGCAGUAGCAGCUCCACGGAGGUGGAAUACAGCAGCACCACUACUGGAUGGUUCCUGGGGAAGCUCCGUGCCCGGCUCCAGAGAUACCUGGAAGCCUUGCAGACACACUUUGUUCAGCGCCGCCGGGGCUUCUGCAUCCACCUGAGGUCCCAGUGGUGGUGGCAGCGCUGGACACAGAGGAGAAAAAGGCGUAGUAAUCAUGAGUAGGGAGGGGUGGAGGAAUGGGGUGCUUCAGGAACCAUCUGGACAGCCCAAUACCCGCCCCUCUCCAGAUCCCUCUGUAGAGCCCUCCUGUCCUCUAGCAGACACACACCCUCACCCAACCUGUCCUCUGCAAACUGACUGAGGGUCCCCUCCUCUUGCCCAUCCACCAGUGCUGUAGCACCAUUGCAGAAGGUCACCAAUUUUGUCAAACAUGAUUUUGCCUUUAUAAAGCCACAUUGGCUGUUACAAAUCAUCUCUGUUUUCCAUUAGCCUUAUCAUAGUUUUCAAGAGAAUCUGCUCAGUGAUCUUGCUUGGCACAGAGGUAACACUGACUGGUCUGUAGUUCCCUGGGUCUUCUGCUUUCCCCUUUUUAAAAAUGGGGGGUUACAUUUCCCUUUUUCUAGUCAUCAGGAACUUCAUGUAACUGCCACAAUUUUUCAAAAAUGAUGAACAGUGUCUUACCAACUUUGUCUGCCAAUUCCCUCAGGACCCAUGGACGGAUUUCAUUUGGUCCCAUGGACUUGUUUAUAUUCAGGUUCCUUAGAUGGUCUCAAAUCUGAUCUUCUCCUACAGGGGGCUCUUCCUUCUCCCAGUCCCUGCAUUUGCCUUUCCCAACUUGGGUGGCAUGGCCAGACUCAAUUCUAAUGGGCCUUGGCUUCCCUAACCUUGUCCCCUAGCUUCUCUUACAAUUUCCCUGUGUUCCUCCCAGGCUACCCCUCAUUUCCACUUCCUGAGAGCUGCUUAUUUUGCUCUGCUCACCAGCUCCUUACCCAUCCAUGGAAGCCUCGUGGCAUUUCUGCCCCAUUUCCUCCCUGCUGGGGUGCGUUGCUCCCAAGCUUGGAGGAGGUGAUCCCUGAAAUUCAGCCAGCUUCAUGGCUGAGAAGAGAUGGGCCCUGCUGGGCAGCUCCUGGGGAUCACCUGGGCCCACGUUCUGCAGGGAGCUGCUUGGGGGGGAGCAGUGCAGCAUUUGGGUCUCUCAAGGAGAGUUGGUGAGAGCGCCUCUCAGCCCUGGGGAAGCACCUGGAUUCUCCUGGACAUGGAGCAUUGCCCAGGGAAGGGGCCGGGGGUUGAACCCUGUGCCGAGGGGCAGUGCAGGAGGGGGAGCAGCACCCAAGAGGGUGGGGCAGAGUGGGGGCACAGGGAAGAUCAUUCUCACUCUGCCUUUCGAUUUCAUCUUCCCAGUCCCUGCCCAAUGCAUUCCAGUGACCUCAGAAAAUGAGGGGUUCGAGGGGAAAAUGGGUUUAAAUUGAGGCCUCCAGUUGUGAUUUCAAGUGUUUCAACUGAAGAAAACCCUGCCUUUUCCAUGUUGUUAGAGGUUUUAAUUGACACGGAAUCCCUUAUUUUUUGCUUGAAAUGGAAGGGGACAACCUUUAUGAGGCCAUUUUCAUCAUCUGAAGGUUUAAAUUGAGGGGGAAUCCCUGUAGUGCCUCAUUUUUGAGAGUUUGAAAGGAACUUCUUUAUGUGCCAUUUUAAGAGUUCCAUCGAGGGGAACCUUCCGUUAUAAGGGACCCUCAGGGGGAAAAAAAGAUAUAAAAAAGCCACAAAAAUAGUGCUUCUUGAGAGGAAAAAGAGUGGUGGGAAGGGGAAGCAUUUUAAAAAAAAAUUAUUAACAAAAAAGUAAAAAGAAAACUAAACUGAAAAUAACAUAAAAAGAAUAAAAAGAGAAAAGAAAAUUGAAAAUAAACACAACAAAAAUAAAAUUAAAAAAGAAAGAGCAAAUAGGCAUUGUGUUUAAGGGAAUAGCAGGGGAGCCUUUCCUUUGCCCAGAGGAGCUGCAGUGUUUCCCUCUAUGGAAAAAUAAGAAAUAAAAAAUAAAAAUAACAUAAAAAAUUAAAUUAAAAAAAAAGAAAAAUUAAAAAGGGAAAAUAAAUGAAAUAAAAAGAAAGUAAAAACAAAGAAUAUAAUAUAAAAUAAAAUAAAUGUAAAAAAGAAAAUUAAAUCCAAGAAAACUAAAAGGGAAAUAAGAUUGAAAUAAAAGAGAAAAAACCCUUUUUGGGGACCCCAUUUAUUCUCUCCCUAAACCCCCAAACCCCAAAUUGGAUGCCACCCUUAAGAUGGGAGGGGGAACCCCAAAAAGUGGAUAGGAGACCCCAAAAAUUGGAGGGUGGAUACCAGAAAUAGGGGAAGAUCCCCAAGGACCUUACAAAUUGGAGGGGGAGCCCAAAAUGGCACGGAAGGGCUCCAAAAAUGGGUGUGGGGACCCCUAAAAGUAGGGAACCCCCCUCAAAAAGGGGGUGGAGACCUACCCAAAAUGUCAGAAAGGAGCCCCAAAAAUAGGUGGGGACUCACAAAAGUGAAUGAGGACCCCUGGAAGUGGGAGAGGAGACCCGAAAAUAUGGCUGGUGAACCCCAAAAAAGUCAGGGAAGGGCCCUAAAACAUCCCCAAAAUGUGGGUAGGGACGCCCAAAAGGGGCAGAGGAAUGCCAGUGAUGCCCCCCGGCACCAUUUUGGGUGUCAAGGGGGUGUCACCCCUCCCUUUCUUCCCGCUUGCCCCCUCCCAUCCCACCUCACAAAGCCUUUAAGGAAAAUAACAAUAAAGUAAAAUAAAAAAACCUUAAAAAAUAAAACAAAAUAAAUAAAAACAAACCCAGUAAAAAUAAAUAAAAAGAAAAUAAAUUUAAAAGAAAAACAAAAUCAAAGAAAAAUAGGAUAUAAAAUUAAAAAAAAAAAGAAAAUAAACCAUAAAUAUAAAAAAUAUAUUUUAAAAAAACAAACAAAAAAACCAGGACGGGCGGGAAUCGCUGCUUCCAACUCAGCAUAUUCUGUGAUUCUGUGAUUCCAUGUGUCUUAUAAAAGAUCUAGAUACAAGAGUAGUUCCAGUAUCUAUGAAACAAUUUCUUGUCUUUAUUGCUGAAGUCUCGAGUUGUUUGUCAGGGUGCAGGAUGUCUUAAAGAAAUAGUACUCCAGGCCACUGGGAGGGAGUCAAAACCCAAAGAAAACCCAAAUCCUACUGAGGGACUCAUCCAAAGGAAGAAAGCCAUUAUUGCCAUCAACAGCUUCAAAACCUGUUCAAAAUUCUAGGACAGCAAUACUGGGAUUCACAGGAAUCUUCUUAGUGCUCUUAGUUCCAUUUUAAUGUAUCUUUAGUCCUCAAGGAGCAGUUUGGAGAACUUACCCUGGGAUUUAAAGGCCAAGCAGGGCUUGCUUUGGAUUGCCUUGCACCUCUGGCCCCAGCUGGUGCAAACACAACUUGGGCCAAUGGGGUUAAACACACUUUCCUACCAAAACAGUUGCUGUAUCCCCUAGAAAUUACCCCAAGUUUCCAGAUAAAAAUGACACCUCUGUCCCCAGUGAGUCACCCCAGGUUUUGCCAGUUGGGAGCUGUAAGGAGGCUGUAAAUUCAAAGGCAGAAGGAGAAGAUCUAUCAGCAAAAGGCAGAAAGAAGGGGACAGGUUUCAGAAGACAUUUCUGCAAUAUCAUUAAUAACUAUUUCCAGUUUCCCAGUGAGAAGAACAUGAAUGCACCACCACCAAGGCCUGACAGUCCUCUGCAGCCAGAGCUCAGCACACAUCCAGAGAGGUGGGUGCACAGUGAACGGUGGGCACAGGGCAGGUCAUUAAUGCCUACGGGGAUGGUGCUUUCUGAGGGAAGAGCAGCUGACUGAUGGCCUGAGUCCACUUGCUGCUCCCGGGAUUGAUUUGCACAGGACAAACUCUCUGGCAGGAAGGGGUUUUGUUCCCUGUCAGGGGUGGACCAGAAGAGGCCUACUGAGAGUGGAGAGAGAUGCAAAAGAACUACAAAGAAGGCUCAGAAGAAGAGAUCUCUAUUGAAGCCUCCUAGCAACUGUAGCUGCGUUUGAGACCCAGCUACAAGGCCAUAGCCUUGCAGGCUCUGCAGAUUCCCAUGUCUCUGCCCCCAGGACAAUCCUUCCAUUCUUCCCUAAGCUCUCCCUACCCCCUGCGUGACCAGACAUAUCCCAUGCAGCCUAUCCCUCCAAGUUCACUUAUCACUAAACUUUAGGAUUCGAGGUUCCCUAGCAAGAAACCCUCCUCUGUUCCUGAACCUUCUGUAUCCCCCUGUAUAUAAACUGUCUUCUUGUUUUAAUAAAUGCCAUUUUGUGAGUCACAA